UUGCACUUAGAAUGCUUAAUUAACAAAAUGGUCUUAGAAAUCAAAUAUUCUGAUAUAUUAAAAAAAAGUUGCUUUCCACAAACAUACCGAGAAAAUACAGUCAGGAUCUCCCUUCUCCUUGAAGACUGAACAGUGGUGAGACACAUCGCUGGAGACUGAGAAAUCAUCUGGGAUUGGUGAAUCUAUGAGAAUGGGAAGAAGCCCAAACUAAACCAACACUGUGAGCGCUCAAGUUUCUCCAUCUCCUCCUUAGAGAGACCACCCCUGUGGCAAGCAGCAUGCAGACUGGCAGAAUACUACAGCUGGAUUAGAAGGAGCCAAAACCCUCAGCAUUGUCCUCUUUCUCUCUUCCGAAGAGAUGGAGAUUCUCUGGAUGAGGAGUCAGACAAGGACACCUGGAGACCCAGAGUGUCGGAGUGCUAUGACCUAAGAGAUGACACACAGAGAAGAGCAGUAGAGCACAUUCCUGCUACAAAGGGAGCUUCUGGAGGGACCACGGGGGACCGAGGAAGAGGCCAAUUUCUCUAAGAGGACAUGGAAACGGCAGGAACCCCUCAGCAUCCCCGCCUCACCAUACCCUCAGCGCAGCGUGCAAUCUAUCUCUUGUUCUCGUUUCAUUUAGUGAGUGAUGUAUGUGGAAGACUGGAUUGGCAGAAAAGGCCGAGCUCGCAGGGGGUUUCCUCAUUUUGAUUGGAUUUUGGAUUAAAGCAUACUUCGGGGAUUUACGAUUAAGCAGUCGUUCUGAAUUUCCAGGCUUCCUGGGGUGGAACUGCAAAUACACUCUAUCAGAAUUGAAUGCAGCUACACUUGGCGCUG